rnacentral:rRNA from 1 species
AACAUUGGCCAUACCACCCUGAAUAUGCCUCAUAUCAGAAGCUAAGCAGGGUUGGGCCUUGUUAGAACUUCCAUAGGAGACAAUUUGU